rnacentral:lncRNA from 10 species
UACCAACUUCAUCUCUCUUUAAGAAUACAAUAUUAGUUUAAAAGAUUGUUCAACUUAAAGCAAUCUUGUAGAGAUUGUCACCCAUGAUUGAUGCUGGCAUAAGAAUGUUUAUCACAGCAUGGCAUAUAUUGGAAGUUUAGUAAAUGAAGAUACAUCCAAUCUGACAUUCUAUUCACAACCACAAAGAGAUAAUGUAGAAACAUAUUUAGUAAUGUGAGAAAAUACUAAAUAUUAAGUGAAAAAGAUAUUUCUCAAGAGUGUCAUGAAAGACAAUGAUAAACGAGGAAUUGUCUCAGAUUGGAGGAGACUAAGGUGAUGAAGAAUUAAAUACAAUGUGGAAUUCUGGAUUGGACCCAGGAACAGAAAAAAGGCAUUAGUGGAAAACUGGCAAAAUCUGAAUAAAGUCUGUAAUUCAGGUAAUGAUAUUGUACCAAUGUUAAUUUCUUACUUUUGAUCAUUGUACCCCGGUCAUGUAAGAUGCUAACAUUAGAAGAACCUGAGUGAUGGGUAUAUGGGAGCUCAGUGCUAUCUUUACAAAUCUGUAAAUGUACAAUUAUUUCAAAAUAAAAAGUUAAACAUACAAAACAUCUA